GAUUCCCUUAGUAGCGGCGAGCGAAAAGGGAAGAGUCCAGCGCCAAGUCUUGACGCCUCGAUGUGUUCAAGAGAUGCGGCGUUGAUGCGUUGUCGCAUCGUGCGUUGCCUUGCGUGUCAAGUUCCUCUGACAGGGACUCCCAGAGCGGGUGCUAGGCCCAUAGACAUGCGAGGCGGACGUACGCCGGACAGCGUAUUCUAGAGUCAGGUUGCUUGAGAGUGCAGCCUAAAGUCGGUGGUAGACUCCAUCCAAGACUAAAUAUGACAGCGAGACCGAUAGCAAACAAGUACCGUGAGGGAAAGUUGCAAAGCACUUUGAAGAGAGAGUUCAACAGUACGUGAAACCACUGGGAGGCAAACAGAUGGAACCACGAAGUGUGCGCCCCGGGCGAUUCAAUCUUGGUUGGUGGCCGUCGACGGACGACCAGGGUCUUUUCGGAGGCCGGUCGYACGGCGUCGGGUCGCCAACAACGGUGCAUUUCGUUCCGGGGAUGCAAAGCCACGUUCGACUUGAUAGUUGGGACGGCCGUAUGGGGAGGGUCUGGGAAAGGUGCCCGGCAGAUGCUUGCGUUUGUCGGCGUUAUAGUCCCGGACCGGAACCGUCGCCUAACAUACUAGUCGAUAAAAGUACUCCGCAAGGAGUCRAGCUAAGCUUUCAGGCGCCAGCGGAAGYCGUUCGGUUGUUGUUUGCGCAUCUUGCGGUGUGAAAAUGCAGCCGGGCGUGCAGCCGUUUGUGUUUGAUUGCGUUUUUAGCGUGAACUGUGGCGCGAGUAGGUCGGUGUCCAUUUGACCCGUCUUGAAACACGGACCAAGGAGCCUAACAUGUGCGCGAGUCGCUCGGUCUUGUUUAGGCCCGGGAGGCGUAAUGAAAGUAAAGCUACGAGGCCGCUUGCGGUCGCAGUAGUGGCCCGCCCACUCCGUUUAUUGGCGGUCGGGCGGAGCCGGAGCGCACACGUUGGUACCCGAAAGAUGGUGAACUAUGCCUGGGCAAGACGAAGCCAGAGGAAACUCUGGUGGAGGUCUGUAGCGAUUCUGACGUGCAAAUCGAUCGUCAGACCUGGGUAUAGGGGCGAAAGACUAAUCGAACCAUCUAGUAGCUGGUUCCCUCCGAAGUUUCCCUCAGGAUAGCAGGCGCUCGUUUCGAACCAGUGUCAUCCGGUAAAGCUAAUGAUUAGAGGUCUUGGGAUUGAAACGAUCUCAACCUAUUCUCAAACUUUAAAUGGGUGAGAUGGUCGACUUUCUUGAUUGAAGCCGACCAUUAGGAUGGUGAGUGCCUAGUGGGCCAUUUUUGGUAAGCAGAACUGGCGCUGUGGGAUGCUCCAAACGUCGAGAUAAGGCAUCAAACACUUACGCUCAUGAGACCCCAUGAAAGGUGUUGGUUGCUAUAGACAGCAGGACGGU
rnacentral:rRNA from 1 species